GAGUGCCUCAGCAGUUCCCAGCAGACUGAAGACUUCCAUGUGGAAACAGCACUUGGCAGGCAAAUAGCAUCUCUCCAUUACAGUACUAUGAACUGAAACACCAGCCACUCAUUUCACAGACCAAAGAUCAGGACUAACUGAAGUCAAUGUGAAGCUAACCAGGAAAGCAG